rnacentral:rRNA from 1 species
UACAGAGGGGGCAAGCGUUGUUCAGAAUUACUGGGCGUAAAGGGCGCGUAGGCGGCCUUCUAAGUCGAACGUGAAAUCCCUGGGCUCAACCCAGGAACUGCGUCCGAUACUGGAGGGCUUGAAUCCGGGAGAGGGAUGCGGAAUUCCAGGUGUAGCGGUGAAAUGCGUAGAUAUCUGGAGGAACACCGGUGGCGAAGGCGGCAUCCUGGACCGGUAUUGACGCUGAGGCGCGAAAGCCAGGGGAGCAAACGGG